GGCCCCGUUUCACAAAGCUCUCGUAAGCCUAAGAUCUCGUAACUUUUCUCGGAGCAUUCGUACCUCCUGUGUAAAAGUGUUACAGU